UGGGUUAGAACUCGACUCAACCCGGCAUCGCAACGAUGUUCGGUAGAGGCUCGCCACGCCGGCAGCGGGCUUCGUUGGCAGUCUAUCUGCCGACCUCCCUAGGAGGUCAUAAAGGAACACCAGUCAAC
rfam:Pseudomonas stutzeri strain 28a24, complete genome.